rnacentral:rRNA from 1 species
GACGAACGCUGGCGGCGUGCCUAAUACAUGCAAGUAGAACGCACAGUUUAUACCGUAGCUUGCUACACCAUACACUGUGAGUUGCGAACGGGUGAGUAACGCGUAGGUAACCUGCCUGGUAGCGGGGGAUAACUAUUGGAAACGAUAGCUAAUACCGCAUAAUAUUGAUUAUUGCAUGAUAAUUGAUUGAAAGAUGCUAUUGCAUCACUACCAGAUGGACCUGCGUUGUAUUAGCUAGUAGGUGAGGUAACGGCUCACCUAGGCGACGAUACAUAGCCGACCUGAGAGGGUGAUCGGCCACACUGGGACUGAGACACGGCCCAGACUCCUACGGGAGGCAGCAGUAGGGAAUCUUCGGCAAUGGACGAAAGUCUGACCGAGCAACGCCGCGUGAGUGAAGAAGGUUUUCGGAUCGUAAAGCUCUGUUGUAAGAGAAGAACGGGUGUGAGAGUGGAAAGUUCACACUGUGACGGUAGCUGACCAGAAAGGGACGGCUAACUACGUG